rnacentral:rRNA from 1 species
GAUGAACGCUGGCGGCGUGCCUAAUACAUGCAAGUAGAACGCUGAAGGAGGAGCUUGCUCUUCUGGAUGAGUUGCGAACGGGUGAGUAACGCGUAGGUAACCUGCCUGGUAGCGGGGGAUAACUAUUGGAAACGAUAGCUAAUACCGCAUGACAACAGUUAUUGCAUGAUAACUGUUUAAAAGGGGCAACUGCUCCACUACCAGAUGGACCUGCGUUGUAUUAGCUAGUUGGUGAGGUAACGGCACACCAAGGCGACGAUACAUAGCCGGCCUGAGAGGGGGGUCGGCCACCCUGGGACUGGGACACGGCCCAGACUCCUUCGGGGGGCAGCAGUAGGGAAUCUUCGGCCAUGGACGGAAGUCUGACCGCGCAACGCCGCGGUAGUGAAGAAGGGUUUCGGAUCGUAAAGCUCUGUUUUUAGGGAAGAACGAGUGUGAGGGUGGAAAGUUCACACUGUGACGGUACCUAACCAGAAAGGGACGGCUAACUACGUG